rnacentral:rRNA from 1 species
CGCUUAGAGUUUGAUCCUGGCUCAGAUUGAACGCUGGCGGCAUGGCUAAAGCAUGCAAGUCGAACGAUACAGUGGCGAAAGGGCGAGUAAUGGCAUCGAACGUACCCCGAGGUGGGGGAUAGCUAGGGGAAACCCUGGGUAAUACCCCAUGUGCUCUCCGGAGGAAAGGCUUGUCCGCCUCGGGAGCGGCGAUGCUCCUAUCAGGUAGUUGGUGAGGUAAAGGCUCACCAAGCCUAAGACGGGUAGCGGGUGUGAGAGCAUGACCCGCCGCAUCGGGACUGAGACACUGCCCGGACUCCUACGGGAGGCUGCAGCAACGAAUAUUCCGCAAUGCGCGAAAGCGUGACGGAGCAAUGCCGCGUGUAGGAUGAAGCGGUUUCGCCGUGUAAACUACUGUCAGGGUGUAGGAAGAUCUGACCGCACCCAGAGGAAGGGCCGGCUAAACUCGUGCCAGCAGCCGCGGUAAGACGAGUGGCCCGAGCGUUAUUCAGAAUCACUGGGCUUAAAGCGUGCGCAGGCGGACCUGCAAGCGUCCCGUGAAAUCCCACGGCUCAACCGUGGAACUGCGGGGCGAACUGCUUGUCUUGAGGGAGGCAGAGGCCGACGGAACCAUAGGUGGAGCGGUGGAAUGCGUAGAUAUCUAUGGGAACGCCAAAGGAGAAGUCAGUCGGCUGGGCCUUACCUGACGCUCAUGCACGAAAGCGUGGGGAGCAA